rnacentral:rRNA from 1 species
AUGCCGCGUGAGUGAAGAAGGCCUUUGGGUUGUAAAGCUCUUUCGUCGGGGAAGAAAAUGACUGUACCCGAAUAAGAAGGUCCGGCUAACUUCGUGCCAGCAGCCGCGGUAAUACGAAGGGACCUAGCGUAGUUCGGAAUUACUGGGCUUAAAGAGUUCGUAGGUGGUUGAAAAAGUUAGUGGUGAAAUCCCAGAGCUUAACUCUGGAACUGCCAUUAAAACUUUUCAGCUAGAGUAUGAUAGAGGAAAGCAGAAUUUCUAGUGUAGAGGUGAAAUUCGUAGAUAUUAGAAAGAAUACCAAUUGCGAAGGCAGCUUUCUGGAUCAUUACUGACACUGAGGAACGAAAGCAUGGGUAGCGAAGAGGAUUAGAUACCCUCGUAGUCCAUGCCGUAAACGAUGUGUGUUAGACGUUGGAAAUUUAUUUUCAGUGUCGCAGCGAAAGCGAUAAACACACCGCCUGGGGAGUACGACCGCAAGGUUAAAACUCAAAUGAAUUGACGGGGACCCGCACAAGUAGUGGAGCAUGUGGUUUAAUUCGAAGAUACGCGCAGAACCUUACCAACACUUGACAUGUUCGUCGCGACUCUAAGAGAUUAGAGUUUUCGGUUCGGCCGGACGAAACACAGGUGCUGCAUGGCUGUCGUCAGCUCGUGUCGUGAGAUGUUGGGUUAAGUCCCGCAACGAGCGCAACCCUCACUUUUAGUUGCCAUCAUUAAGUUGGGCACUCUGAAAGAACUGCCAGUGAUAAGCUGGAGGAAGGUGGGGAUGACGUCAAGUCCUCAUGGCCCUUACGUGUUGGGCU